UUUUCCUACGGGACGCAGCAGUGGGGAAUAUUGCACAAUGGGGGGAACCCUGAUGCAGCGACGCCGCGUGAAGGAAGAAGUAUUUCGGUAUGUAAACUUCUAUCAGCAGGGAAGAAAAAGGACGGUACCUGACUAAGAAGCCCCGGCUAACUACGUGCCAGCAGCCGCGGUAAUACGUAGGGGGCGAGCGUUAUCCGGAUUUAUUGGGUUUAAAGGGUGCGUAGGCGGAAUGCCAAGUCAGCGGUAAAAUCGCGGGGCUCAACCUCGCUCCGCCGUUGAAACUGGCGUUCUUGAGUGGGCGAGAA
rnacentral:rRNA from 1 species